rnacentral:misc_RNA from 1 species
GAUGAAGAACGUAGCGAAAUGCGAUACGUAAUGUGAAUUGCAAAUUCAGUGAAUCAUCGAGUCUUUGAACGCACAUUGCGCCCCCUGGUAUUCCGGGGGGCAUGCCUGUCCGAGCGUCAUUGCUGCCCUCAAGCACGGCUUGUGUGUUGGGCCCCGUCCUCCGAUCCCGGGGGACGGGCCCGAAAGGCAGCGGCGGCACCGCGUCCGGUCCUCGCGCGUAUGGGGCUUUGUCACCCGCUCUGUAGGCCCGGCCGGCGCUUGCCGAUCAACCCAAAUUUUUAUCCAGGUUGACCUCGGAUCAGGUAGGGAUACCCGCUGAACUUAAGCAUAUCAAUAAGCGGAGGA